rnacentral:rRNA from 1 species
GAUGAACGCUAGCGGCAGGCCUAAUACAUGCAAGUCGAACGGUAACAUGAGUAGCAAUACUUGAUGACGAGUGGCGCACGGGUGCGUAACGCGUAUGCAAUCUACCUUUAACUGGUGAAUAGCCCGAAGAAAUUCGGAUUAAUACACCAUAGUAUAGUUGAAUGGCAUCAUUUAACUAUUAAAACUCCGGUGGUUAAAGAUGAGCAUGCGUGACAUUAGCUAGUUGGUGAGGUAAUGGCUCACCAAGGCUACGAUGUCUAGGGGAUCUGAGAGGAUUAACCCCCACACUGGUACUGAGACACGGACCAGACUCCUACGGGAGGCAGCAGUAAGGAAUAUUGGACAAUGGUCGCAAGACUGAUCCAGCCAUGCCGCGUGAAGGAUGACGGCCCUAUGGGUUGUAAACUUCUUUUGUAUGGGAAAAAACCUCUUUACGUGUAAAGAGCUGAUUGUACCACAAGAAUAAGGAUCGGCUAACUCCGUGCCAGCAGCCGCAGUAAAAC